rnacentral:rRNA from 1 species
AGUGAACGCUGGCGGUAGGCCUAACACAUGCAAGUCGAACGGCAGCACAGUAAGAGCUUGCUCUUACGGGUGGCGAGUGGCGGACGGGUGAGGAAUACAUCGGAAUCUACUUUUUCGUGGGGGAUAACGUAGGGAAACUUACGCUAAUACCGCAUACGACCUACGGGUGAAAGCAGGGGAUCUUCGGACCUUGCGCGAUUGAAUGAGCCGAUGUCGGAUUAGCUAGUUGGCGGGGUAAAGGCCCACCAAGGCGACGAUCCGUAGCUGGUCUGAGAGGAUGAUCAGCCACACUGGAACUGGAACACGGUCCAGACUCCUACGGGAGGCAGCAGUGGGGAAUAUUGGACAAUGGGCGCAAGCCUGAUCCAGCCAUACCGCGUGGGUGAAGAAGGCCUUCGGGUUGUAAAGCCCUUUUGUUGGGAAAGAAAAGCAGCAGGUUAAUACCCCGCUGUUCUGACGGUACCCAAAGAAUAAGUACCGGCUAACUUCGUG